GGGUGCUUGAGGCUAUCUGCUUCAGGCUAUCUGCUUCAGGCAUGAACACCAAAAGGCAGAUAGAGAAAAGCCCCAGUUAACAUUACGCGUCCGGCAAGACGCUUAACAUUAAUCUGAGGCCAAUUUCAUGCUUUGCACAUGUAGGUUAGCCUCUUACAUGCCGAAAGGCAAGGAGAAGCAGGCUAUGAAG
rnacentral:antisense_RNA from 1 species